GACACUUGCAGAAAAAAAAGUCAGGAUGACAAUUUAGGUAAAAAAAAGUCAGAAUAAACUUUAAAAAAAAAAAUGCAGGACCGAAUAGAGUGAAAAAUAAAAAAGGCAGGACAGAGAUUACAACUAAAAAAAAAUGCAGGACACAAUUUUUCAUCCUAGCCCCCCCCCCUAAAAAUCAAAUGGCAGCUUCCUAACAAAGAGUUCCAUUUCUUUUGUUAAAUUUCAACUGGGUUUCCGCCUAAUUAAAAUUGAAAAUAAGUAUACUGCAGAUAGUUAGUCUGCUUUUUGUUUUGACUUGCAUCUAAAAGUUGACAGUAGUGUCUGCUGGGAACAAAACUUCGAAUUUACGACCAAAUACAUUUUUUUGUAGAUCAUUUCAAUUUUCCAUUUGUGAGCUUUCCAAAUCUGUAUGCAGUAACAUGCCAGAAGCUCUUGUAUAUGGUUAACAUUGCCAAUCUAUGUGCAGUAACAGCUCUUGUCUAUUGUUUACAUUGCCAAUCUACGUGCAUUAACAUGCCAGAAGCUCUUCUACUAUGUUAACAUUGCCAAUCUACGUGCAUUAACAUGCAAGAAGCUCUUGUCUAUGGUAAACAUUGCCAAUCUAUGUGCAGUAACAUUUAUUCAUAAUAUUUCGUUCAUGACAGAAGUAUCCCCCAAGUAUCUUAUAAUGUAUUUACAGAAAACGUUUUGUCAGUGUUAUGUUCAAGACUGCAUUUUGUCAAUAUAUAUAACGUUGAUAAGCUAAAUAAAUAACAAUGUGUUUGCUUUAUCAAACGUGUACAAAAUUACAAUUUGUACACAACAUAAAUAUCUCUUAGUUGAUAAAUAUUCCCGUGCUUAUUCAUGAUUUCCGUGGUAAUGGGUUGUUGCUAAUAAAGAAGCUUUUGAACCGACAUUUCUUAAUGGUAAAGUUAAAUUAUUUGAUUUAACAACGAGGUAUAACGCCAGAUGGUGAUUCAGCAGAAAAACACAAUGUAAAAGGUGAUACAAUAAAAAAAUCCAAAUUGCAAUUACAUUAUUUAUGCUGAUAUAUGUGUGUAUUUAUUUUCAUGAUUAAACUGUCUGUUGACACCUAUAUGUGCCACUAGUGGAAGAUUUUUAUGUUAUUGAGUUGCUGAUGUCUCGUUGGCGUAUACCUCGCAUUACCUUGUGUUCCAUUGUAAAAGUGUUUAAUUCUGAUAUAAACCAUCAGAUUUGCCACGAAAAGUAUUUCUGAGAUAAAAAAUCAGUUGCGCCUAAACACAUCUUUCUAAAAUAAACCAACAGGUGCACCCCAACACGUGGUUCUGAAAAUAAACCAUUAGGUAAGCCAAGACAAAUAUUUCGGAAAUAACCAUUGAGCACCUCACCAUGUUUCUGAAAUAAACCAUCAGUUCCACCACGACAAGUUUUUUAAACAAAACGACCAGGUGAGUCACGACAAAUGUUUCUGAAGUCAACCAUCAGUUCCACCACGACCCGUGUUUUUUAACAAAUAUAUAAGGUGAGUCGCGAAAAAGGUUUCUGAAAAGACCAUCAGUUGCGCGCUACGUCGUGUUUCUGAAAUAAAUCAUUAGGUGCAAAACGAAAAGUGUUUCUGAAAUAACCAUCAGUUUCACCACGACAAGUAUUUCUGAACAAGACCACCAGGGGAGCCGCGAAAAAUGUUUUUGAAAUAAAUCAUUAGGUACAAAACGACACGUGUCUCUUAAAUAAACCAUCAGUUGCACCACUACACGUGUUUCUGAACAAAACCCAUUAGGUCCGCCACAACAAAGUUCUCUGUAAUGACCAUUAGGUCCGCCACAACAAAGUUCUCUUUAAUGACCAUUAUGUCCGCCACAACAAAAUUCUCUGUAAUGACAGGCGCGCCAUGACAAAUGUUUCAACGUCUUCCAAUAAAGUAAAAAAAAAACAUCAUUUGCACCACGACACGUUUUCGGAACGAAACCAACUAGCAACAACAAAUGUUUCACAACGCGUAUUUUGAAAAAAAACUGCCAAGGUGCUCCAGAGUCUUCAGAUUCGGGAAGCAAAAUACUUAAAAACUUAAAAGACAUCAAAAUGAUAGAAGGCAUAUGAUUCAAUGAUGGCGGAAGAUGCUCUAAUCUUUGAAUUGUUACCCCAAAAUAUGAAUUAGACUUUACAAAUAGUAGCACUGACUUUCAAAAUCCAAUUUUCCGAAAAGAGGGCAAAUCAUGAUUAUACCACCGAAACUUAGAGAGUUGCUUUAAAUCCCUACUACACCGCUUAUGAUUGGAUUUACGGUAAAUCUACAGUCAUGUUUAAUUUACAGAAAAGAUCGCGUUUCUAUAGUAAGACAUAGGACAUUGCUUUCAUUUUCUUGAAAUAAGCAUGUAAAUUGUAGACACAAAAGACUGGAACAGUGUAACGUACUUGGUAUGUGGCACUUCUACAUAUUCUGAUCAAAUGAAUAUUGAUGUAGGGUGGUCUUUAAAUUGGUUUGGAUUGAAUGUGAUUGUGUUUUCAAUCUAAUAGUUUUAAAAACUUUAAUGACAUUAUACUAAUGAAAUGAUUACAGCAGUCGUUUUUUGUUAGCUCAUCUAACCCAAAUGUCCAAGUGAACUUUUCUUAUUACUUGGCGUCCGUCGUCCGUCGUCGUCCGUUUACUUUUACAAAAAUCUUUUCCAUUGAAACUAUUGGGUCAAAGUCAACCAAACUUGGUCGACAUGGCAAAUAGAACAUAGAAUUUAUCUUGAAAACCGCUAUAAAUAGAGAAAAUCUGACAGACCUGAAAUUUUGAGAAUGUUAAAAUCUAUCAUUUACAUCAAAACUGUCAGACGACUAAUUAUAGGAGUUAUUACCCUUUGAUGCCGAAAUUUACUAUUUUUUUUUCAUUGUUGCGUAAUUUAUCUUGAAAACUAGAAUUAGAUAGAUAGACACUUUAAAUAGUAAAAGUGAUCAGCAAGGCAAAUUGAGUAUCUACAAAUAAGACCAAUUUUGUUGAAAUCCUUAGUAGACUCUUAUCGCCCCCUUUAUUGACUGCCCUUAAAUUACGAUUAUUUUACCUUUUUGUGUUUUGGGCAAAAGCUAAAAGAGAUAGAUAGAAACUGUAAACAGAAAAACUAUCAGCAAAACAAGAUAAAAUAAAAUAUUUUUGUCGUGAAUUCUAUUCUAGUUUACAAUGUUGGAGUGUGUACAUUGUGGAAGAUGUACAUAGACCUAGGUUAGCGACACAUCCAUUGAGUUUGGUCUUAUGUGACGUUUAAACUGUUUUAUUGCUAUGAAACUGUUCGAUUAUUUUAAAUGUGUAUGUUUUGAUUUAUUGUGACAGUUUUAUUAACGAGAAUUACCACCAAGGGCUUCGAGUGGCUCUCCUGAAUGUGUCUUUUGGAAAAUUCAAUUUUUAAAGAUUGGAAUACAAAUACUUCAGUUAAUUUUGAUAAAACAUGCCUCCAAAAAUUAAUUUAAAUCACGAUAGAGGACUUUUUCACGCACGGAGUCGAACUUGAAGAAAAUAUUCUACCAAUAAGUACUAAUGAAAGUAAAUAUUCUACCAAUAAGUUCUAAUAAAAGUAAAUAUUCUACCAAUAAGUACUAAUAACAGUAACGAUUCUAUACAGAACCUGAUAAUAAACGUUUCUAAAAAAACAUUUUUCAGCUGUGAUAUGAAGUGCAAAAACA